GUUUGAACCAGUCCCUUACCAUAAGUAUUCCUACCAAGAACUACAGCUCUAUCAAAAUCUUGUAGAGCACCACUAACAAUUUCGGACGCUGAUGCCGAACCUCCGUUUACUAAAAUAACCAUUGGAAUAUUUAUAUCUAAAGGACUGUUAAGUGUUUUGUAUGUUUUCUUCCAAGCUGCUAUUUUUCCUCUAGUUUCUACAACAGUAACGCCUUUAUCUGUAAAUAAAUUAACCGUAUUAAUUGCUUCAUUAAGUAACCCACCUGGAUUU
rnacentral:ncRNA from 1 species